CUCUGACUGUUGCUGAACUACAACUCUUAACAGCCUCAGCAAACAUGGCCAGUGACCAGGUGAUGGGAAUUGUAGUUCAGCAACAGCUGGAG